rnacentral:lncRNA from 1 species
UGCUCGUUAUAAUUAAAUCAGAAAAGACAUUCCUUGGCUUCAGAGAUAGUUUAAUUUAUUGAGUUUGUUCAUACAAGAUGAGCAUAUUAUGUUAGAUUUGGUUAAUGUAGAAUGUUCCCUUUGAUAUAUAUUCAUCCCCGGAUCAUGAGUGUAUGACUGGAAACACAUUUUCCUUCUACUUCCGUUUCCUGUGGAGUUACGUCAUCGUUUGGGUUGCAG